rnacentral:lncRNA from 1 species
UUUGAUUUGUUAAAAACAUUUGUUGGGAUAUGCAACUUUUCUUACAUAUUUUGCUAGAUUAUGUUUAAUAUCAAAAUAAUUUAGUUAUUAGAAAAAUAAGGAUAUUUGUUAACCAAAGAUCACGUUGGUUUGUUAACAGAUAUUUUAGAUAAGAUUUGCUAGUAGAAGGAGAUUAUAUUUUGUUGAAAUUUUUAGGAUAAUUGUUAGUGGGAUAUUUUGUUAGUUUGUUUCAUGUAAUCACUAUAAAUAGUGAGUUGAUGAAUGUAAAACAUAAGCUCAUUUUUCACCUUCAAUACAAGUCUCUUAUAAGCUUUUUUUGCAACAUUAAGGUGUUGUUUCUUAGUUCAUGCCUCCAAAAAAAUCAACAAAGUGGUAUCAAGAACCUAUAUCUUAAGGGCUUGAGUCUUUUUUUUUAGAGUGAUGCAUUGGUGAGGAUCCAUUAUAAGUUCAAAGCCAUGACAGGAAAGAACUUUUUGUCAAAUGUUUCAACUUUUAGUGGUGAAACUUACCAAAUUUGGGCCAUAAAAUUUUGGACUUAUUUGGUAGUCAAUGAUCUACGGGAUAUGGUGGAGACGAAUUUUGUUUCAUCAGCAUUUGAAGAGCUGAUGGAUACACAAAUUAUAGAUCAUAAAGUUGCAGUUAGACAGAGAUCCAAGACCAGCAUUCACAUAUCAGUUUUUGAUGCCGUUUUCACAAAGAUAAUGGCUAAUGAUUUGAUUGAGAAUAAAUUAUUCUCAAUUAAAAUAAAAAGGAGAAGUUUCACUAUGAAUUGGUCAGAUUUUGACAAUUCUAAAGUGGAACAUGAUGAUGAAAUCAAGAAUUCAGAUCCUGAAAAAAUUCAGGAGGAGAUCAUUGAUAAGUCAGGAGAUAUCAAAUUGAUUCCUGAUAUUUAUCAAGAGUAUAACAUUUCUGUUUUUGAGUUUACAGAUUUUGAUGGUGAUGACAAAAUGAAGAACCAUGCAGAAUUUCAUAUUUUCUGUAUAGGUUCAAAUGUCGUCAAAGGAUGUUCCACUUUAAACCUAUGAGAAGGUUAUUAUAAAAAAAAAUCAUCUUUUAUGUGGAGUUUGGCACGAGAAGAUAAAAGAAGUGGUUCGUUGCAAGACUAAUAUUUAACUUGCAUAAAAACCCAAAGGAAGAAGUUCAUUGCAAGGCUAAUCAUCAAUUGCAAAGUUUCUUACAAAAGUCUCGUCCAAAACAAGAUUCAAAGAUUUAAGAAGAUAAUUCAAAAUCUGCAGCAAAAGUGGCAAGGAGGAGUGUUGGGAUAUGCAACUUUUCCUACAUAUUUUGCUAGAUUAUGUUUAAUAUCAAAAUAAUUUAGUUAUUAGAAAAAUUAGGAUAUUUGUUAACUAAAGAUCACGUUGGUUUGUUAACGGAUAUUUUAGAUAAGAUUUGCUAGUAGAAGGAGAUUAUAUUUUGUUGAAAUUUUUAGGAUAAUUGUUAGUGGGAUAUUUUGUUAGUUUGUUUCAUGUAAUCACUAUAAAUAGUGAGUUGAUGAAUGUAAAACAUAAGCUCAUUUUCCACCUUCAAUACAAGUCUCUUAUAAGCUUUUUUUG